CUUGUUCUGAAACAAGAGAAAGAUAUAGAUCUUUUCUUUGUGUGUUAUUCAGGUGUCACUAAACAAUUUCUUGUUCUGAAACAAGAGAAAGAUAUAGAUCUUUUCCCUCAGAAAGUAAAUAUUGAUCCUUUUCAUGCUUUCAACCUCCUGGAUAUGGAGAUCCAAUCCAAUAAAACUGAUGCUUUUGUUUCUUUGGAAUAUAUCUUAUUUGUUUGUGUGAGUGGAACCAAAGUUGGAAGAGCACCAAACUAGCAGAGCUUACUUCGUCAUCUCUCAUUUAAAAUGGCUAGAAGGAGACGAAGGAUGUCAGCUCAUGAUUGCAACGAAUUUUCAACAGUUCGUCAUCACCUUGUAUUCAGAAGAUUAUUUUAGCAUGAGAAAAGAUAGAUUACCUAGCAGAAGAGCUCCAGCCACCCACCCUCCUGUCUUGCCUUUGGCUGCAGGCCUGCCCCUUGCGUCCACUGAUCCAUCAAGAAGGUGAAGAGGUCGGCAAGCAGGUGGAAGAGGUGCAGACCAUUUUCGAUCUCUCGGAGCUGGCCAUUGCUGCACCACAGUAGGGAGAUUACAGCGAUAAGAGGAGCACAAGAGUGGAAUGUAAGAAAGAGAGAAGAGAGGAGAGCCUUGAAUGAAGAAAUUGCAGUGAGGGGGAACGGGAAUUUAUAGAGGUCAGGGACAUGCAUCAAUGGUUGAGAUUGGAAAUUCAGGAGGAUGAUGUGAUGCGAUUUGCCCACAUGGCCAAAUCAAAGCCAAAAAGAAGCCGAAAAUGACAAGCCUUGAAGUUGGUAGGGAAACAGAGGUGAUCCAUUUGGAUUUUGAUACUUGCUUAGCUACAGAAGACAGAUACAUUUACAUGAGAAGGGUAAUCAUCUUCCAAGUUCUUAGCAGACAUCGAAAAAAAAAGGAUGCUUUCCAAGUUAACUAGAAUAGCAAGAGUUUUAGCCGCAUCCGAUACCGAAGAAAAAAAGAUUCGAAGAUUCGAUUACUUUAUGGUUAUCGGUGUCUCCACGGAAGAACAAGAAUAGUCUCAAACUGAGAAAUUGGCACUCUCUGUGUAAGCAUUUGCAGUGUGUAAGAACUUGGUUUCUAAUGUUUGGUCUUGAUCAAAGGAAUUCUUAGUUGCUCAGAAGUAGGUGGUUUUUGCAUGUUGAUUUCUCUUGGUGGGUUGUCUUCUCUGUGCAACCUUGUCGGUCUGAAAAACCACAUAUGGUUCUCUGGAUUUCCUGAAACAUGAGAAAAUAAAGGUCAACCUUCAGCAUGAUUCAUACAAAUCAUGUUCUACAGUGAGAUGUGGAGCCCUUCUCAUACCAUUUUUCAGGAACGUUUUCCAUGACAUGAUGAUAGAUCUGUUACCACCAUUUCCAAAAUCUUAGCUAGCAGGCCAAGACUUCACAUUGGUUUUGGCAUGAAUCGUCGACUCGGAGAAGAAGAGGUGAGGUCUCUCAAAUCAUCUUUAUAGGCUACCAACAUAGUGGUUUGGCAUCGCAGAGAUUUUGUAGCCUAGUUUAACUUUGCACCUCCAUAGCUUUUGCUUUAGUCUCUGUCAAUGAGAUUAAGAUAUUUAACCACCAUGGGAAAGUCUGGUCAUUCUUUGACUUUCGAAGAGAAGCAAAGGGCUAUGGUGCCGUCAUGAUUCCACUGCAGUUGUCUGCAACUUGAUCUCGUGCACUUGUUCUUGUCUUGACAACCUAACUUCGUGCAGCAUCAUGGUGCUCGAAACGUGCUAAGCCACAGUCCCAACAGUUCUUUCUCGGUCACCAUUGUUUGUGCUCUCGAGACAGUCCCAAGUAUGUGAAAGCUAAGGAAGUCACCCUGCGACAGCCGGAAGAAGGACGAGUAAGAAUGUCUUUGUGCCAUUAAUGCUGCGCAUGAUGCAGAGUUUGAUAGCGGCAAGCCAGUCAUCUAAAUUAUUGACGAGGAAGUUUCUCCUCCGGAGCUAUUCCCACACCACGAGUCAUCGGUUUGCGCUUAGGCAAUUAGAACGAAUGAUGUUACAUCUUCUCGAUUCGCAAGAUAUCAAAGCUGCGAGGAUCUCUUCUGAGACUUGGAUUUUUCUUUCCUAUUUCCAUGUUUCUUCAACCUGAAAGAAUGUCAAAUCAAGUAUGGGUAGCAGCCUCGCAUAUGUUGCAGACAUUUCUUGGAUCAACACCACAUCACCUUCUGCAGGAACUCACAGAGGAUUUGGCUUCUUGAAGACGAGAAAAUUCCAUGGAGAGAAACUUGCAAUUCGUCCGCAAGGAAGCAAACAGAAGAAGACAAAAGCGAUGUGAAGGUGAUUCGUUUUUCCUUUCUCUUUCGGAUUCAUGAACCAGGAAGAGUCUCUCUGCAGAUAUUUCGACUUCGCUUUACAGCGCUCUGAAUCGAAAGGUACGCUCUUGUCUGGCUUUUCCGCGACGACGAAGGUCCAAGCUCUCGGUCAUGUCGAUCUUCCACUUCGUAGCUGCUGAACUGGAUCCAUCGUCUCUUUCGUUCUCGUCCACUGGAGGUGUGUGAGAAGCGGUAGCUCGUAUGGAGCUCGAUGGUUUGACUUAUCAGCGGCAGCCUUUGCUGACAUGCCGCACUACGCAUCACAUCUUAUCUAUAAGCGCACAAUGAGAUCAUGCUUCCUCCGAGCUUCGUUGGGAUCUUACCAGGAUUUCCACACUUACAGCUCGGAGUCCAACUAGCACGCGCAGCGUCACCAUCACCGUGCUGUAGACCACCAUUCGACCCUUUUCCACGGUCUUCUUCGAGAUGCU